AUGAAGGAACAAGUCAAACAACAUACUAAGGAAGCACCAAUUCAACCCCAGAACACGGGCCAAACUUGGGUUUCUGCAACAGAUCAAAAAGCAUUAGCAGAUGGGGGACAGGAAAGGCAGUGGCAAACGUUUAAUCAAAGAAACUCACUAGAUACAGUCAAACGCAUGGAUCUUUUCUGGCGCCUGAUUCAAAUAAACCAACUAUACAAAAGAUAUAUGGGCAAAUCAGAAAAAUUAUAUACUAGGUAGGAUAAUUAACAAAUUACUAAUGUUGUUAUGUAUAUAGUAUGUAAAAAUAUCCUUAGCAAUUAUACAUAUGUACUGAAAUAUGGGUGAUUUGGGAUUUGAUUUAAAAUACUAUAGUACACUUAAGAGUAAGGUGGAGGGAAUAGAUGAAACAAGGCUAAAAUAUUAAUAACUGCUGUUGGGGUACAACUUCACUAUACUACAGUAUCUGUAUAUACUUGAACAUUUUCAUAAUUUUUAAAAAUUAGAAAUUGGAAAGAUUUUUUACUCUGAAGAAUUGUUAUGUUUCCUAUAAUUGAUAUGUCUAUUGUGCUUUGCUUUUUACCAUUUGCCUAAAUGGUAAAAGUUAAAUUUAAAUUUAACUUAGUUAAAGUUAACAAAGUUACUUGAACAUUUUUGUAAUUUUUAAAAAUUAGAAAUUGGGAAAAUUUUUUAUUCUGAAGAAUUGCUAUGUUUCCUGUAAUUGAUAUGUCUAUUGUGCUUUGCUUUUUUCCCAUUUGCCUAAAUUGCCAAAGUUAAAUUUAUGUGCAAAUGCAAAAUGAUCACCUUAAACCUUGUUUCUGCCAUAAAAACAACCCCUUCUCCUCUCUGGACUCACAGCUCUUACUUAACAGUUCCAACGUAUGCAUGUUGUCAUUCUGCCCACUACAAUUCAAUAAAUAAACAUACCUGCUGAUGGCACAGAAAAAGAAAAAAAAUGUCUACCGAAGAAAUAGGUGCUCAGGCAACGCCUUCAACAGUUGACUUACAGUGCCCCUCCCUGAAAUUCACGACAACUGCAGCAAUGCCACCAUGAAUAGCUCUUUGCGAAUGCCCCAUCUUCUCCAUUUGUCCCAAAUCCUGCCCAUCUCUAACUCCACUUUUAAGCAACAGCUCCUCCACGAAGACCCCCACAGUAAAAGUAAUCUUCCUCCUCACACUCCUGAGGUUUCAAAAUGUUGAUUAUAGAGUGCUCUUAAAAUUAACAUAUGUAUAACCCUCAACAAGUCAGGAAGUCCCAAAUCCCGAUGUGGCGGAACUGAAUACUAGCCAGCUUGCUGCACGCUCAUGACAUCUGGCAUGCUGCUUCGUAUAAGACUCCAGAUACAUGUUUUGACCGAAACCAAAAAACAGUUCUGAAAGUAAAAGAAGGCCACAGAAAGGACUGAUAUAUAAGCAAGCAGGAGUUAACUAGGAAGUUUUAAUCUGAAACCCAGGCAGAACAGGGCCAGGUGUCACCACCUGACUGGUUGUGGAGGUUCUUGGAGGGUGAGCACGGAAUCCAGGAAAGGACCUAUAAUCUAGAUGUUGCUAUGGACCCACACCUGCUCGCUUAACUUUUCUAAUAAGUAUGUGCUGCCCCCUGUAUGUUGUUUGUUCCAUGAAGAGCAACAUGCACAAUUCUGAUUAAAGUGUAAUGUACACAUGUCAUUAACCAAGACGGAAUACUGAAAAGNNNNNNNNNNNNNNNNNNNNNNNNNNNNNNNNNNNNNNNNNNNNNNNNNNNNNNNNNNNNNNNNNNNNNNNNNNNNNNNNNNNNNNNNNNNNNNNNNNNAAUGUACACAUGUCAUUAACCAAGACGGAAUACUGAAAAGGUGGAUCUGGGUUCCCAAGACUGAGGCAUGAUUUGUAGAACCAUCCUGUUUGGGAUCUUCACAACACUUUUGUAUUGAUUUUUUAAAAAUUAAUGUUAGAUUAGAAUGAACUUAACCAACUGACCACUUGACAUUAUAAUGUGAUGUGUAUUCUCUAAAUUCACGGUCUAUGAAAAACUAUCUGUGAAACUACCCCUUCCCACUUUUCCCAAUUCCUAUGGUAAGGUAAACACAUCCUGUACAUCGUUGUGGCUGUUCAGUCACCAAAGUGCCGAACUCUUUGCGACCCCGUGGACUGCAGCAUGUCAAGAUUUCCCUGCCCUUCAGGAUCUCCUGGAGUUUGCUCAAAUUGAUGUCCAUUGAAUCAGUGAUGCUUGCGACCCAACCAUCUCAUUGUCUGCUGUGCUUUUCUCCCUUUGCCUUCAAUCUUUCCCAGUAUGAGGGUCUUUUUCAACGAGUAUAUCUUUCAGUUCAGUUCAGUCGCUCAGUCAUGUCUGAUGCUUUGUGACCCCAUGAACUGUAGCACGCCAGGCCUCCCUGUCUAUCACCAACUCCUGGAGUUCACCCAAAC
ensembl:lncRNA